CCUUAUCAUCUCAAUUAACUAUU
rnacentral:snRNA from 1 species